GGUUCGCCGCCAUUCCCUUCCCCUUUUACGUUCCGAUUGAUUUCUGAUGCAAAAGGCUCUCCAUUGGAAGUGAAUUCUUGGUUACAAAAAAGAGAAAAAAAAAACAUGGCUGCGAAUUUUUGGACAUCAUCUCACUACAAACAGCUUUUGGAUCCCGAAGAGGUUGACGUGGUACAUCAGAUUGACAAAGAAAGAGGCAUCAGUAUUGAAGAUUUUAAGCUCAUCAAGCUGCACAUGGCCAAUUAUAUUGCAAAAUUGGCUCAAAAUGUGAAAGUCAGGCAAAGGGUGGUGGCUACUGCCAUUACAUACAUGAGACGUGUCUAUGUCAGGAGGGCAUUGACUGAAUAUGAUCCUCGUCUUGUUGCUCCAACUUGCUUGUACUUGGCAUCAAAAGCAGAAGAAAGCACUGUACAGGCCCGUCUCUUAGUAUUUUACAUUAAGAAAUUACAUUCGGAUGAUAAGUACAGAUAUGAAAUUAAAGACAUACUUGAAAUGGAGAUGAAAAUUCUGGAAGCCCUAAAUUAUUAUCUUGUCGUAUUCCAUCCAUAUCGUGCAUUGUCUCAGUUGCUGCAGGAUGCAAACAUGGGCGACACAACUCAGUUAACUUGGGGAAUUGUCAAUGACACCUAUAAGAUGGAUCUGAUUCUUGUACAUCCUCCGCACUUGAUUGCACUAGCCUGCAUAUAUAUUGCAAGUGUGCUUAAAGAUAAAGAAAACACUGCCUGGUUUGAAGAGCUUCGGGUUGAUAUGAAUGUGGUGAAAAACAUUGCAAUCGAGAUAUUAGAUUUCUAUGAUAGCCACAAAAUGAUCACUGAUGAGAGGGUGGCUGCCGCAAUGAUCAAAUUGAACAAAUAAGAGUCCAACAAACCAAUCACUCCUGCUGUUUCCGUUUGUAUGGACUGACGCUAGGUACAGAUGAUGCAUUCAAAAAUAGGCUGAAUAGGACUGAAAAACGAGAAGGGACAGUGUCGCUCAUUGAUAGUAACUGCUGUUUUUGUUUGUAUGGACUACUCAAUACGGCUGAUGCAGUCAAAAGAAGAGCGAGUAAAUAUGAAAAAGAGAAGGGACGGCGCGGCUCAUUCUUGCUGCUGCAAGUGAAGCUUCGCUUAGAGUUUGGGUUUUUAUGCAUAUAAGGUAGUGCGCUUCGGUUGAAUGAUGCUUUUUAGAGUUGUUGUUGUAGCCUAUUACUCGCAUCGUAGAUGUUAGCAAAAAUCUCAGCAGGAUGUUCACGACAUUCUCUUUGUAUUCAAGACUCUUAAAUACUGGUGCUCCUAAAUCAAGAGUCUGGCGUCAAAUUGAUCCUUCUGAAAGCGUUAUUUCCGCUGUUUGUUUAACUUCCUUUGCUAAGAAUGCGAACUAAGCCCAUUUGAUUAGAUAUGUAGGUGACACGGCUUCCAGACUGCACUAUUUUAUUGAAGAAUUCAUCAUUGUUCCAAAACAAA